UCAGGGGACCCCAGAGACUCUAUGGCCCAGAGAGAAAAAAGUUCACACUCAGAAAGCUGGUGUGGAUCGAGGGCCUGUGGGGUGGUGUCUUGGGUGCUCUGGGCACUGGGACCUAAUGAGGCAACUUCUCGUUAUCCUCACGGCUGUGGUGGUCCCUCCUGGCAGCUCCUGCCUGCUCCUUAAUCCGGGCUCCCUCUCUAGGUGAUCAAGCUGGCCUUUGAGGAGUUUGACCUGGAGAGAGGCUACGACACCCUCACGGUCGGGGACGGAGGGCAGGAUGGGGACCAGAAGACUGUUCUCUACAUCCUGACAGGUAACUCGGUCCCGGAUCUCAUCGUCAGCACCAACCAUCAAAUGUGGCUCCUCUUCCAGACCGAUGGCAGCGGCAGCUCCCUGGGCUUCAAGGCUUCUUACGAAGGUAACUGCUCUUGGGGAGCCAAUGAGUCAGACACUGGGGUCUGGUGUCAGCAAGCCCUGGGUCCGAGUCCUGGCGUUGCCCGGCACUAGCUUCCUCUCCUUAGGCACGUGAUUCCACUUCUCUAAGCCCCAGCCUCCUUCUCCAGUGGGUCUCCUGGGCUGUUUUAAGGAUUAUCUGGGAUAAAUCACUUAGAAGGCUGGCCUGCAGCCCCAGGCACACGCAUCAGUUCCAUCCCCAGUUGAUACCUGGCUUGUGUGACCUUUGAAAGGCCCCAUAAGCUUUCUGAGCCUUGGUUGUUUUUUCAGAUCUUUAGACUGGAGAUGGUAGAUUCUCAGGCUACUCUUUGAGUGUCAGAGUGAUGAGUGACUAUGUGCACAGAGCUGGGGACAGACACGCACCAUUGGUGACCUGAGGAGAAUGCGCACAAGGGUGACCUUCAGGUCUUGGUGGGGACAGACAUUGAGGGAACAGCAAAUGCUGGGGCCCGGGAGAGACGGUCACUAUGACCCCUCCGUGCACUGCCAAAGCCCCUGUUGGUCUAUGACUGCUCGUGCAGACCCCCACGGAAAGGGGGGCAGAGGCCAUCCCCAAGCAUUUGUCGAGGCCCUGGUAGGUAUCCCAGCCUGGGCUGGCACUAGGGGAACAGAUGCAUGAGACUUGCUUCAAGGGGCCUGGACUUUUGCAGUCAGAGGAGGAAACACAUGAGCUGUCAUUAAAGCAAGAUGAUUGCAGCCAACAGAGCCAACUUUAUCAAGAAAGGGAGAGAGUUCCCACUGUGGCUCAGCAGGUUAAGCACCUGACAUCAUGUCCAUGAGGGUGCAGAUUCCAUCCCUGGCCUCGCUCAGUGGGUGAAGGAUCCGGUGUUGCCAUGUGCUGUGGUGUAGGUUGCAGAUACAGCUCGGAUCCCAUGUCGCUGUGGCUGUGGUGUAGGCUUGUGGCUGCAACUCCAACUCAACCCCUAGCCUGGGACCGUCCAUGUGCCACAUGUGCAGCCCUAAAAGUAAGGAAAAAAAGUGAGCUUUAAGUCUUUAAAAUGACGAGGUGGCUGCUAGAGAGACAGGAGGCCAUGGCAGGGGAGAGAAGGCAUCCCCCCGAUGCAGAGACCCAAUCAUUCUCCCUAUUCAGGAUGAUUUGGGGGGAGCAACUCCAGAGGACUCUUGAUCCCCCAGCAUGUGUCACCAAGCCCCAGUGGACCAAGGGCUCUUCCUGCACCAGGACCUGCACUCCGUCACCAGACUGGGUUCACAGGAGGCAAAUCUGUGUCCUAGGGCUGCCCUAACAAAGUACCACAGCCUGGAUGACUUCAACAACAGGACUGUAUUUGUUCCUAGUUCUGGUGGCUGAAGUCUGAACUCAGGGCAUCAGAAGGACUGUGCUCCCUCUGAGACUCGGGGUAGAAGCUCCCUGGCUUCUUCUUAGCCUCUGGUGGUGGCCAUCGAUCGGGAGCUUGUAGCUACAUUUUUCUAAUCUCUGCCUCUGUGGUCACACACAACCCUGUGCGUCUCUCUCUCCUCAUCUUAUAAGGAGCCCAGUCAUAUUGGACUCGGGGCCCACCUCACCUUAACUUGAUUACUUCUGCAGAGACCCUAUUUCCAGAUGAGGUCACCUGCACAGGGACCAGGGGUGAGGAUUUAUUUAGCACAUCUUUGGAUGAACAUGAUUCAAUCUGCCACAGAAGGCCAGCUCUUCUUUCCUGCAGUAACAUGGUCAAACCAGGAUAUGUCCGCUGGGGGUAAGGUGAUGGGUGCUGUGUUCCAAGAGGAGGAGGCAUGCAUCUCAGGGAGACCGGACAGCAGCUAAAGACCACUUGUUGGGUGACAAGUGCCAAGUUCAAAUCCUAGCUCUGUCACUUUCUAGCUCCGUGGCAGGCCUGGGAGCCUCUCUAAGGCUUUGUUUCUUGACCUGUGAAACAGAGGUAAUAAUACACCAUUGGUCACGGGGCUUCUGUGAAGAUUCAGUUUAGAUAAAGAAUGUGAAAACAAAACGGUGUGAGUUACAAGGUGAUUAGUGAGUAACUAGGGAGUGAGCCAAAGGUAGUUAAUGAAUGGGCUCUUCUGGAACAUAAAGUUACAUACCCGCAGCUCUGAGGCCAUGGAAGGAGCACCAGCCAAGCCAUCCGGAGAUGGUGAUUCAGGUCCAGGCCCUGCCCUCACUUCUUUGGAAGUGGGGAUGGGUUUAGACUUGAAGUUUCGAAGGUUUCCCCGUUUCUGAACAUCUACGGAUAUUCGGGAGUGAACAUUUCCAGAAGUGGGGGCGGGGGAUGAUUCUGUGUCAUCUACAUUCCCCCUAACCUUUCCACAUUUGAUCCGCGGCUCAGCAAAGACAAAAGUAACACGGGCUUGAGGGCGAUGAUGGUACAGCAGUCAGCAGAUAGUGUGCAGAAAGAUCUCGAGGGAGAGAGAGCAGUUGGCUCAAUUCCCAGGAUAAGAUGGAGUGGGAAAAGAAAUACCAAGUCCUGUUUGAAGGUUCAAAAAAUGAGCUACUAGCAUUGAUCCCAGGGAGUGAGCCAUGCUUUAUUCUACCCUGAUCAGGCGUCAGAGCAUCGGGCAUAGAUGUGGGGACCUCAGCUUGAGAUGGAUAAAGGAGAGGACUUAAAGUCCAGGCCAGUGAAAAAGGUUAAUGGCCCCCUGAGUGCUUAUUUGGGGGAAAGUGGUCUCAAGGGAGACUGAAGAGUUGUGUCCAAAUAUUUGAAGGGUUGUUAUGUGGGAAAAAGGAAUUAGACUUGUUUGGUGUGAUUUCACUGCAGAGGAAGGGACAUACUUGUUGAGAGCCUUCAUGUUCCAGAAGCUGCAUGUUCAUCGUCUCCAGGUUUUCCAACAGUGUCACGCAAAGACUUGGGGUGCCCUUGGGGACCCCUGAGGAGGUGGGAUGGGGGUGCCCAGCAGGGAGGGUGCUGACCCUGCUCCAUGUCACCUCUUCUCCUCCUCUAAGCCUUCUUGUAAGAGGGGGUCCAUAGCUCAGCACUAGUUUGAUCAGGACCGUUGCAUCUCAUUCAACACUCACGGCUGUGUGACAGCUGCUCUUUCAUAGAAGAGGAACCAGAGACUCAGAGGGCAUGUCACCUGCCCAGGGUCACAGGGAAGCGUGGGACCUGGCAGAGUCCAGAUUCAAUCCUGGGUCUCUCUGACUUCAAAGCCCAUGAUUUUCACUUAAACCAAAAGUCUCCCAAAGCUACAGAGUUUCAAUUCCUUGUAAAAUCUUUAUGGACGCCAAGGCUUUGCCCCACAUGGGCCACACACAUAUCACAAGCCCAGGUUCCUUGUUACUGGAGGUGGGGGUUUUGUUUGUCAGUUCAUUUAUCCAUUGCACUCAGUCAGUAUUGACUGAGCUCCUGUCCUGUGACCAGUACUAGGCUCGGCGCUGAGGUUAGGGUAGGAGCAACAGACACUGGGCUUAAAAACAUACCCUGCGUGACUGCUGGCUAUGGGCUAGGUGUGGGCUGGACUCCUCCUAAUGUGUGGUGUCACAAAUUAGGAAGAAAGAGAGCGUGGGCAUUUAGAGGCCUCGCUAACCUAUAGGGGCUACGUGGUUCUGUGCACAGAGGCAGCAGGUUCUGUGAAGACAGGAGGGACUCGGAUGGGACCAGAGCAGGCGCAUCCCAGUCUGGCCCCCAGCUACGUGGCCUUAGGCAGGUGACGUGGUCUCUCUGAGCCCAUUACCCAUAAAAUGGAGCUGGCAAUGUGACUGUAUCGCAUUGGUAGCUAGUGUUAGGAAAUGAGAUGACAGGAGUCUCCUGCCUGGCACAGAGGGGCCGUCCCGAGGAGCUGCUAAAGUCCCGUGAUGACCGCUGCCCUCCUCCCUAGGGUGUAUCCUCCUCUGCUGGGACAUGUGGCUCCCUGCCUGUCCCCCGGGUGGCCAGAGCUUGCUCUGAUAGCCCGGUCCUGGGUUCCUGCCUCACCGUCAGUCCCCAGACUGGCUGGGAAAGGAGCUGAUUCGUGGGGGCCAUCAUGUAGGAUGUGGAGGCAGAAGGUGCAGGAGGCAGACCCCAGUCACCCAGGGCCUCGUGGCCUCGUGUCCAGCAGGAAGAGAAGCCUGGGAAGGGUUCAAUGUCAGGAUGGGCCUGCCUUUCCCUUCUUGUCCCUUUGACCUUGUGUGUGAAGGUGACACCCACGGGUCUCACGCCUUCAUGGUGAGGUGCCCUCUUCUGUGGAGCAGGUAGGUGUUGGGUUCCCUAGGGCCUGACAUGACAGUGUCCCUCCCACCUGCUCCGAGCCUUUCUCCCUGCGGCCCUCUGGUCCCCUCCACCUCCCCGGCUCUCCCCUCAAAGGUCCUGCCCCCUCAGCCUCUGUGCUCAGCACUCAUCCUCUUUUUCUAGAACUUCCCACCAUCAAUCACAUCUUACUCCCACAGCUUCAACCUCAGCCUAAGCCCUGGUGACCUCCAGCUCUGCUCCCCACUUGCGUAUCAACCUGUGACUCAUCUUACGUAGCCCCCCGCCUCAGACAGCUCAGGCCCAGCCCAUCUGCCUUGGGUCUGUUCUGGCUGCCAUAACGAAAUACCAUAGACCAGGUAGCCUGAAUAACAGAAAUUUACUUUCUCAUGAUUCUGAAGACUAGGAGACCAAGACCAAGUUUCUGGCUGAUUCCAUUUCUGGCCUGGGCUAGCUUUAGAGGGCUGCCAGGUGUCUUUCUGGCUUGCAGAUGGCUGCCUUCUCACCAUGUCCCACCUGGCCUUUCCUCGGUCUGUGCACAGGGAGGGAGGGAAAGAGUGCAGUUUGCUGUUGUCUUUUCCUGUAAGGGCACUAAUCCUCUCAGAUCAGCCCCCACCCCCAUGACCUAGUUUACCCUUGAGUCCCUGUCUCUAAGUACAGCCACACCAGGAGUAGGGCUUCAACAUAUGAGUGUGGGGGAGACACUCGCUCAGUCCACUAACACCAUCCGAAACCAAGCUCUCCAUCUCCACCCCGACCCCCAUACCCCCUGCCCCGGAGUCCCCAUCAGCUGUACCAUCCACGCCAUCACUCAGCCUCACCUCCACCUCCUCCUUCUCCCUCUCCCACUGCUGACUUGGUCCCCAGACUCCGUCAGUUCUCCCUCUACAGCGACCCAGCUCCUAUGUCACUGACGUGGCUAAAGCCCUCAUUACCACUGACCUGAGUGAUGAUACCCUCCUCCUACCCAGCAUCCCUGAGUCCAAACCUCUCCCCACCCCCACCCGACCCACCUGCCUCACACAACACAGGGAUCUUCCUAGACUCCAGAUCUGGCACAGUUCCCUGCUACUUAAAAAAAAAGAAACAGAAGUUCCCGUCGUGGCGCAGUGGUUAACAAAUCCGACUAGGAACCAUGAGGUUGCGGGUUCGGUCCCUGCCCUUGCUCAGUGGGUUAACGAUCUGGCGUUGCCGUGAGCUGUGGUGUAGGUUGCAGACACGGCUCGGAUCCUGCGUUGCUGUGGCUCUGGCGUAGGCUGGUGGCUAUGGCUCCGAUUGGACCCCUAGCCUGGGAAACCUCCACGUGCCGCAGGGGCGGCCCAAGAAAUAGCA
rnacentral:lncRNA from 1 species